AGGGCGCACGGUGGAUGCCUUGGCACUAGAAGCCGAUGAAGGACGUUACUAACGACGAUAUGCUUUGGGGAGCUGUAAGUAAGCUUUGAUCCAGAGAUUUCCGAAUGGGGAAACCCAGCAUGAGUUAUGUCAUGUUAUCGAUAUGUGAAUACAUAGCAUAUCAGAAGGCACACCCGGAGAACUGAAACAUCUUAGUACCCGGAGGAAGAGAAAGAAAAUUCGAUUCCCUUAGUAGCGGCGAGCGAAACGGGAAGAGCCCAAACCAACAAGCUUGCUUGUUGGGGUUGUAGGACACUCUAUACGGAGUUACAAAGGACGACAUUAGACGAAUCAUCUGGAAAGAUGAAUCAAAGAAGGUAAUAAUCCUGUAGUCGAAAAUGUUGUCUCUCUUGAGUGGAUCCUGAGUACGACGGAGCACGUGAAAUUCCGUUGGAAUCUGGGAGGACCAUCUCCUAAGGCUAAAUACUCUCUAGUGACCGAUAGUGAACCAGUACCGUGAGGGAAAGGUGAAAAGCACCCCGGAAGGGGAGUGAAAUAGAACCUGAAACCGUGUGCUUACAAGUAGUCAGAGCCCGUUAAUGGGUGAUGGCGUGCCUUUUGUAGAAUGAACCGGCGAGUUACGAUUUGAUGCAAGGUUAAGCAGUAAAUGUGGAGCCGUAGCGAAAGCGAGUCUGAAUAGGGCGUUUAGUAUUUGGUCGUAGACCCGAAACCAGGUGAUCUACCCUUGGUCAGGUUGAAGUUCAGGUAACACUGAAUGGAGGACCGAACCGACUUACGUUGAAAAGUGAGCGGAUGAACUGAGGGUAGCGGAGAAAUUCCAAUCGAACCUGGAGAUAGCUGGUUCUCUCCGAAAUAGCUUUAGGGCUAGCCUCAAGUGAUGAUUAUUGGAGGUAGAGCACUGUUUGGACGAGGGGCCCCUCUCGGGUUACCGAAUUCAGACAAACUCCGAAUGCCAAUUAAUUUAACUUGGGAGUCAGAACAUGGGUGAUAAGGUCCGUGUUCGAAAGGGAAACAGCCCAGACCACCAGCUAAGGUCCCAAAAUAUAUGUUAAGUGGAAAAGGAUGUGGCGUUGCCCAGACAACUAGGAUGUUGGCUUAGAAGCAGCCAUCAUUUAAAGAGUGCGUAAUAGCUCACUAGUCGAGUGACACUGCGCCGAAAAUGUACCGGGGCUAAACAUAUUACCGAAGCUGUGGAUUGUCCUUUGGACAAUGGUAGGAGAGCGUUCUAAGGGCGUUGAAGCAUGAUCGUAAGGACAUGUGGAGCGCUUAGAAGUGAGAAUGCCGGUGUGAGUAGCGAAAGACGGGUGAGAAUCCCGUCCACCGAUUGACUAAGGUUUCCAGAGGAAGGCUCGUCCGCUCUGGGUUAGUCGGGUCCUAAGCUGAGGCCGACAGGCGUAGGCGAUGGAUAACAGGUUGAUAUUCCUGUACCACCUAUAAUCGUUUUAAUCGAUGGGGGGACGCAGUAGGAUAGGCGAAGCGUGCGAUUGGAUUGCACGUCUAAGCAGUAAGGCUGAGUAUUAGGCAAAUCCGGUACUCAUUAAGGCUGAGCUGUGAUGGGGAGAAGACAUUGUGUCUUCGAGUCGUUGAUUUCACACUGCCGAGAAAAGCCUCUAGAUAGAAAAUAGGUGCCCGUACCGCAAACCGACACAGGUAGUCAAGAUGAGAAUUCUAAGGUGAGCGAGCGAACUCUCGUUAAGGAACUCGGCAAAAUGACCCCGUAACUUCGGGAGAAGGGGUGCUCUUUAGGGUUAACGCCCAGAAGAGCCGCAGUGAAUAGGCCCAAGCGACUGUUUAUCAAAAACACAGGUCUCUGCUAAACCGUAAGGUGAUGUAUAGGGGCUGACGCCUGCCCGGUGCUGGAAGGUUAAGAGGAGUGGUUAGCUUCUGCGAAGCUACGAAUCGAAGCCCCAGUAAACGGCGGCCGUAACUAUAACGGUCCUAAGGUAGCGAAAUUCCUUGUCGGGUAAGUUCCGACCCGCACGAAAGGCGUAACGAUUUGGGCACUGUCUCAACGAGAGACUCGGUGAAAUCAUAGUACCUGUGAAGAUGCAGGUUACCCGCGACAGGACGGAAAGACCCCGUGGAGCUUUACUGUAGCCUGAUAUUGAAAUUCGGCACAGCUUGUACAGGAUAGGUAGGAGCCUUUGAAACGUGAGCGCUAGCUUACGUGGAGGCGCUGGUGGGAUACUACCCUAGCUGUGUUGGCUUUCUAACCCGCACCACUUAUCGUGGUGGGAGACAGUGUCAGGCGGGCAGUUUGACUGGGGCGGUCGCCUCCUAAAAGGUAACGGAGGCGCUCAAAGGUUCCCUCAGAAUGGUUGGAAAUCAUUCAUAGAGUGUAAAGGCAUAAGGGAGCUUGACUGCGAGACCUACAAGUCGAGCAGGGUCGAAAGACGGACUUAGUGAUCCGGUGGUUCCGUAUGGAAGGGCCAUCGCUCAACGGAUAAAAGCUACCCCGGGGAUAACAGGCUUAUCUCCCCCAAGAGUUCACAUCGACGGGGAGGUUUGGCACCUCGAUGUCGGCUCAUCGCAUCCUGGGGCUGUAGUCGGUCCCAAGGGUUGGGCUGUUCGCCCAUUAAAGCGGUACGCGAGCUGGGUUCAGAACGUCGUGAGACAGUUCGGUCCCUAUCCGUCGUGGGCGUAGGAAAUUUGAGAGGAGCUGUCCUUAGUACGAGAGGACCGGGAUGGACAUACCUCUGGUGUACCAGUUGUCGUGCCAACGGCAUAGCUGGGUAGCUAUGUGUGGACGGGAUAAGUGCUGAAAGCAUCUAAGCAUGAAGCCCCCCUCAAGAUGAGAUUUCCCAACUUCGGUUAU
rnacentral:rRNA from 1 species